rnacentral:rRNA from 1 species
UACGUAGGGACCAAGCGUUGUUCGGAUUUACUGGGCGUAAAGGGCGCGUAGGCGGCGCGGUAAGUCACUUGUGAAAUCUCUGAGCUUAACUCAGAACGGCCAAGUGAUACUGCAGUGCUAGAGUGUGGAAGGGGCAAUCGGAAUUCUUGGUGUAGCGGUGAAAUGCGUAGAUAUCAAGAGGAACACCUAGGUGGAAGAGGGUUGCUGGGCCUGAACACUGACGC